rnacentral:rRNA from 1 species
GCAGUCGAGCGGUAGCACAGAGAGCUUGCUCUCGGGUGACGAGCGGCGGACGGGUGAGUAAUGUCUGGGAAACUGCCUGAUGGAGGGGGAUAACUACUGGAAACGGUAGCUAAUACCGCAUAAUGUCGCAAGACCAAAGUGGGGGACCUUCGGGCCUCAUGCCAUCAGAUGUGCCCAGAUGGGAUUAGCUAGUAGGUGGGGUAACGGCUCACCUAGGCGACGAUCCCUAGCUGGUCUGAGAGGAUGACCAGCCACACUGGAACUGAGACACGGUCCAGACUCCUACGGGAGGCAGCAGUGGGGAAUAUUGCACAAUGGGCGCAAGCCUGAUGCAGCCAUGCCGCGUGUGUGAAGAAGGCCUUCGGGUUGUAAAGCACUUUCAGCGGGGAGGAAGGCGUUGAGGUUAAUAACCUUGUCGAUUGACGUUACCCGCAGAAGAAGCACCGGCUAACUCCGUGCCAGCAGCCGCGGUAAUACGGAGGGUGCAAGCGUUAAUCGGAAUUACUGGGCGUAAAGCGCACGCAGGCGGUCUGUCAAGUCGGAUGUGAAAUCCCCGGGCUCAACCUGGGAACUGCAUUCGAAACUGGCAGGCUAGAGUCUUGUAGAGGGGGGUAGAAUUCCAGGUGUAGCGGUGAAAUGCGUAGAGAUCUGGAGGAAUACCGGUGGCGAAGGCGGCCCCCUGGACAAAGACUGACGCUCAGGUGCGAAAGCGUGGGGAGCAAACAGGAUUAGAUACCCUGGUAGUCCACGCCGUAAACGAUGUCGAUUUGGAGGUUGUGCCCUUGAGGCGUGGCUUCCGGAGCUAACGCGUUAAAUCGACCGCCUGGGGAGUACGGCCGCAAGGUUAAAACUCAAAUGAAUUGACGGGGGCCCGCACAAGCGGUGGAGCAUGUGGUUUAAUUCGAUGCAACGCGAAGAACCUUACCUGGUCUUGACAUCCACAGAACUUUCCAGAGAUGGAUUGGUGCCUUCGGGAACUGUGAGACAGGUGCUGCAUGGCUGUCGUCAGCUCGUGUUGUGAAAUGUUGGGUUAAGUCCCGCAACGAGCGCAACCCUUAUCCUUUGUUGCCAGCGGUUCGGCCGGGAACUCAAAGGAGACUGCCAGUGAUAAACUGGAGGAAGGUGGGGAUGACGUCAAGUCAUCAUGGCCCUUACGACCAGGGCUACACACGUGCUACAAUGGCAUAUACAAAGAGAAGCGACCUCGCGAGAGCAAGCGGACCUCAUAAAGUAUGUCGUAGUCCGGAUUGGAGUCUGCAACUCGACUCCAUGAAGUCGGAAUCGCUAGUAAUCGUAGAUCAGAAUGCUACGGUGAAUACGUUCCCGGGCCUUGUACACACCGCCCGUCACACCAUGGGAGUGGGUUGCAAAAGAAGUAGGUAGCUUAACCUUCGGGAGGGCGCUUACCACUUUGUGAUUCAUGACUGGG